CAACGUUAAUUCUUACAGUCGGCAUGACGUCACAAGAUGGCCGCCACGCCCGGACUAGGGUAAAACAAUCUGUAAGAAGUUCCAAUGGCUUUGUUAUCGGAUGAAUCUGUCCACUGACAGCGAUUGAACAGAACUUACCUGGAUCCUCAAACAAUCAUAGAGCCCUUUGAGGUGGUUUCAUGGGAAGAAAGUGAUCUUAUCAGUUGGUGUCAUUGUAGCAAAUAGAACUAAAACAGAUAUGAUCUUCACAGGUGUGGUCAUUGUAUUUGUCUUUGAAAAGGGGGGCUGAAAGAAAGCUUUAAUGACAAUUUACUAGUCUGAUUUUAUUACUGAAAGUACAUGCCAUUUUGAGAAUUUGAACAAUUUUUUCUAGUAAUUUUUUAAUACCCAUGUUGCUGCAGACAGAAUUGAGAUCAUGGACAGAAU